UUUUCCUAAAGUAAAUGGUCUCGUUCUAUCGCUGUGUGACUCGCAAGUCAUUGUUUUUCGUUUUGAUUCGGAGUGGUUGAUGAGGGCGGUGCAGAGAAGCUGUAGCGGGAGCAUCCUGGUCCGAAGGUAAAAAAACCUCUGUUACUAGCAAAAAGGCUCCGCUCCACCUGUGGCCAACUCUCUAGCCGAGGGUUUUGAGAAGAGGAGAGAAGAGAGAGUGUCGACAAUGGCCGCAUACCCUCCUCCUCAGCCCCUCCACAACUCCACCCAUCCCCUCUAUCCGUACCCUCCCCUUCCCACUCCCCCUCCUCCUCCCCUUCCCCCUCAACCUCACUUUCAACACCCUCAGCCUCAACCUCCUCUUCUUCCCUCUCAUCAUCAUCUCGUGGCGAUGCAACAACAUCAGCCUCUCCCUUUCCAUCUGCAAUCUUCUUCAGUUGAUGAGGUUCGCACCCUAUUCAUUGCCGGCCUUCCUGGUGAUGUCAAGCUCCGUGAGAUUCACAACCUCUUCCGCGAUUUCCCUGGCUUCCAGUCAUGCCAGUUGAAGAGCUCUGGUAACUCCAACCAGGCAUUUGCAUUUGCUGUCUUCUCAGAUCAACAGUCUGCCGUCUCUGCCAUGCAUACUUUGAAUGGACUAGAGUUUGACCUUGAGUUUGAAUCAACUCUUCACAUUGAUCUUGCGAAGUCCAACUCUAGGACAAAGAGAUCACGAACAGAUAAUGAUGGGUCUGGUUCUUUCGAUAAAAAAGUACGAGGAUUUGCCACAGGAUUGAGAGGCCCUCUGGAUUCUGCUCAUUUUGCACAUGUUUGUCCCAAUCGCACACUAACAGGGCUUGGCAGCAAUACGCUCUACAACGGCAUGAAUGGGUACUCUUCCACUCAGAGCCACGGGAACUUGGAUGGCCUUGGUAUCCAUGACUUGAACUCUGGAAUAUCAUUGGGGCAGCCUGCAAUCCCACCAUCUGCAAACAAUAAUGCUUGCCCAACUCUUUUUGUUGCAAAUCUUGGCCCAAACUGCACUGAAGACGAGCUGCUUCAAGUCUUUUCGAGAUUUCCGGGAUUUUUGAAGCUGAAGAUGCAAAUGAAACAUGGAGCACCUGUUGCAUUUGUUGACUUUCAGCUUUUUGCCAUCGUAGGGAAACUGCUGCUGGUGAUAGUGUGGAUAUGUUUUUUGUCUACUGCUUUUUUAAGGACUCCACAUGCUCGACCCAAGCCCUAAAUCUCCUACAAGGUAGCAUCCUCUACUCAUCUGGUCAUAAGGGGAUGCGCUUGGAGUACGCGAAGACAAGAAUGGGACUUCCGAAGCGAGAGAGAGGGUAGCCACAACAGUCCAAUUUGGAUAUUGUUUUUUAAGUGUUAACUAGUUAUUACUGUUGAUCCGAAGGGAACUGUUCUGUGAAUGCCUUAGGUUUUCCUUUGGACUGACAUGCUACCCACUUUUGAUGAAGACAACCUGAAAAUGCUAGUGGGCAUCGAGGUUAUGCGCGUUUCUUGAUGCUACAGUCUAUUUUGACUUGCUUAUUGUAGCGAAUGUGAAUACAAGAAUUUACUGCUGCGCCUGUCCUGCUACCACUUGUAAUAAUAGAAAAUCAUCAUCUUGGUCAUCCACAUCUAUUAGUAUUAUGCACUUCUCGAAA